UGUACACUUGCAUCCAUCCCGCCGCCGAAGCCGUUCAGUUAGCUCAUCGCACCUCCCUCUCUAGCCCGCUUCAGCUUUUUCCAGUGCCACACCUCCGCAGCUACCGUUUCAGCAACCAUGGAGACGGCGAAACUGAGCGUGGAGGCGAGCACAAGGUACCUGAUGGCGCUCGGGUAUCGUGUGUCUGCGCCGCUCAACGCCGACGGCUCGAGCACUGCCAACGUUGGAGAGACAGAGCACUCGCUGUGCAGGGGCUUCACCGGGGCCUACUCACUUGGCCUGCAUGUCGGCGCGCUGUUCCUGAUUCUCUUCGUGUCGCUCCUCGGCACUGCGAUUCCGAUUCUCGGCAAGUGCAUCCCUUCUCUCGUGAGAUACCCGUAUGUGUUCUCCGUGGCGAAGUCCGCUGCAACGGGCGUGCUGCUGUCUGUGUCGACGAUUCACCUGAUCUUCGAGGGCGCCGAGGCUUUCUCGGAGGAUUGCAUCCCCGCCGUGCUGAAGAGUUACGGGCCGCUGUACUUCUUGCUUGCCCUGAUUGCUGUGCUGCUGAUGCAGGCGCUGGACAUGCAGCUGGCGGACAUCGCUGAGCGCUGGAUGAAGGCCAAGCUGAAGAGAGAGGCAGAGGCGGCCAAGGCGGAAAGCAAGGGCGACGGCGAGUGCUGCGGGCUCUCCCCUGAUGUGGACGCCGGCGUCACCUCGGGCCUAGCACCGGCGGAUGGGCCUUUGACCGAUGAACGUAAGAGCACGAGUUUGAAGAGCGGUGCACAGACGACGGUGCCCGUCGCUGCGUUGGAUGAUUGUGAGGUGCCGCUGGUGGCGCUGUCGCCGGAGCACCCGGUGCAACACCAUCACUGCGAUGAGCCCGCUGCUCACGGGCACCAACAUCUGUCAGUGGCGCCACCACGGGACAUGGGUUACCUCCGCUGCGUGAUCUCCGCCGUGUGCAUGGAGUUCGGUGUGACGCUGCACAGCGUGUUUGUGGGCCUGGAUGUCGGGCUCAAGAAAGACAGUGAGCUGAAGCCGCUGCUUGUGGCGCUUGUGUUCCACCAGCUGUUCGAGGGCAUGGCGGUUGGGUCGCGUCUCGUGGACGCCAAGUUUUCGGCCACCCUGGAUGUUGUUCUUGCCCUUGUGUUCUCCCUCAGCGCGCCAGCUGGCAUGGCAGCGGCCGCGAUUGCCGUGUCCGUGUCGCCGUCUGCGAUGUCCGGCAGCGGCUUCGCCACUGUUGUUGCUGUACUGGACACGCUGUGCGGCGGCAUCCUGCUGUACCUCGCCUUCACGCUGCUGCUUGGUGACUUUGUGGCGGAUGUGAAGCACUACUGCUGCGAUGGGCAGGGGCACCGCACGGUGAAGAAGAUCAUGCUGUUUGUGUCUCUGUGGGUGGGUAUGGGGCUGAUGGCGCUUGUGGGCAACUGGCUGUAGGCGCCGCUGCCCGUCGGAUCAGAGUAUCGCUGUGUGCCUGCUGUUUUCUUCAGCCUCUGCGUCGCGUGCUCAUUGGUGAGUGCGUGACACUCGACAACGACAGCAGCCCUUUGCUUCUGCCCUCUGUGUUGGUUGGCGCGUGUUUCUCAGGGCUUGAUGAGGUAUGGGUACGCGUAUCAUAGAGGACGUCGACUUCGUGCGUGGGAGUCUGCCCCUCGCCCUUUUUUCCCCCAACAACGUGAAGACUGAAUGUGUUGUGUGUAGGUGUUGGCCGUGGCGGUGAGUAGCACUACCGAAGCGCUUCAUCUCGCUAGCUGGAAAAGCGGGGCUUGGCAGGAGAGAUGGGAAUCCGGACUUUGCUUUUUUUCGUGCCUGCCAACAGCCCUCGAUGCUCUUGUGUGCAUUUGAAUGGGUGUAAGUGGCUUGUGUGCGGGCCUUUGCGUGCACCUGGUACUGCCGCACGAGAAAAGGCACGCCUGUGCUCCUGCUGCGUUUCCAUUGUCUCGCUGCAUGUAAUUUCCUCCUCUGCGCGCUGCAUUGAGUCGUGCGCGCCUUCAACUUGUCCUCGCCGCGUUCUUUGCUUUUCUUUGUGUGCUAUGUGGGCACUGAAAAGUAUCGUCGUGCGUGCCAUGGGGAGGAGGAGGACUCCUUGUCAUGUAUUGAGCGUCGCUCCUCUGCGCUCCGUAGUUUGUGUCCUGAUGUGUACUUGUGUGGGCUCUCUGUUAUGCGCCUGCAGGCAUAACGCUGGAUCAUUUCUGUAAUUGCCUCUGCAUGGGUGGUGUGUCUGUGUCUGUGGAUCUUGUGCACCGUGGCCUCGACAGAUUCAGACGCCCUCUAACGUUUUUUCUUGUGUUUGCCCGCCUUUCCGCCCGCCUCUUCCUGGUCCCCCACCUCUUAUUAGCAGCGUUUCUGUACGCAGCGAUGUCUGUCGUUCAUUCUGUCUGGAGGUUUCGUUUUUUUUUGUUUUCUUUUUAGUGUUUCUCGUCCCCUUGUUUGGGCCAUCGCCAUUCCCUUGAUUUUUUUUGUUUGCCCCGAUUCUCAUCUCUGCAGAGGGACCCUGGUCUUUCCAUUCCGCGGGUAUCUGUUUCACUCUCGCACUGUGUGUGUGUGUGUGUGUGUGCGUGUGCACGCACACCUUCAGAGCGUCUCAAACGUGGCGAUGCCAAUGGAGCGGUGCCUGGGCGUUCUCGCGUUCCUUUCUUGGUCCUCUUUUCUCGCUCGAAACCCCCACUACUGGUGGAGGGCUUGUCUUUGGAUUGUGUGGCAC
rnacentral:misc_RNA from 1 species